UGGGGUGUGGCUCAGUGGUAGUGCACUUACCUAGCGUGUGUGAGGUCCUGGGUUUGAUUCCCAGCACUGUAA
rnacentral:tRNA from 1 species